AGGCAUUGCCAAUUCUCAAGCUAGCCGCCAGAUCCUCUGUUCUUUUCACCAGGGAAGUUCGCUAUAAAUUACAAGGAGAAGACCCCUCGCUCCAUAUGAGGGGAUGUUGCUAAUUCUGCCGCUCGCGCUUCGUAAAUGAGAGUUCUUUAAGGCGGGUUGUCCUCUUUGGUGGGAAUUCUGUCUGUCUGUCCUCGAUUCUGCAAGCAUAGAAGCUCAACAAUGGCGGGAUUGUGAUUUAACACACCAACGGAUUGGUUCUGGUGUGGAGAUAUGGAAGACAAAGACAUCAGCCAGCAGUUAGGACGUCUGAUGCCAGGACUCAGGAUCAAGUAAGCGGAGUUUUGGCACCAGAAUCCCACAUCUUGAUUGAUAUGGUGGGAUGAACUUGAUAUGCUUCCUAUCUAUAGGAGUCUGCUUCUGUGAAAAAUUUACCAUUUUUCAGCCGCCUGUAUCCAUGUAGUGCUUAUGGACGGUCUUGUGCUAAUUGGGUAUUGCUGCAUUAGCACACAACAUAAGCAUAAGCUAGAGCGACAAGAGCCACCUUGUCUUUCAGCUUUCACCUCGUCUGAAUGGGGGAAGGCUAUCCACGCUGUGGCAGACAACAUCUGCUUCAUUGUCUUCAUCAGCUUUAGUAGGAACUUUGAAGUGCUUAUGGACGGUCUUGUGCUGAUUAUUGCUCCAUCAGUACAUAACAUAAAACCUAAGCUACAAUUACAUGCCACAGUUUCUCCGCUAGCUUUCUCUUCUUGCUAUUAUAGGGAAAGCUAACCAAAAUGUGGCAGAUAUUCAUGUACAUUGGGUAAAAACGAUUUUUUUAAUCCUUUCAGUCCAUUAGUCCAUUUCUUUCUAUCCUUCUCAUCCACUUACGCUCACAAACUAGAGAAUGCACAUUAUCGCAUAUGUUUGACAAGCAUUCUAGGUGAAUUAGCUAAAGUGCUGAAAAUGAGUGCCAUCAGAAUGUUUCAUCAUCAAUGUUUACUACUUUUACCUCUAUUCAAGUUCCUCGUACGACAUGCUUGAUUAAGUAGGGAUGAACUGAUGUCCUUUUGUGUUUGCUAAUUAGCAAGACCUUUUGGAAGCAGUGCAUGCUGCUGGAAUCGCUGAUAAGUUAGGUAAUCACUCUUUGUAGAAGCAGCCAAAUGCCCAAUGGCCCAGCAAUGAACCUCUUAAACACCAUUGUGUGUACCUUCAUUUUAGGGUUUUUGAGGAUAUAUUCAGUUCAAAUUUGGCAGGCUCUAGCAUGGAGUGAACUGGCUCACUGUUGUCCCGGUCGAUUUCUCCCACGACUAUGUAGACUAAAAAGUGGACCUUUGUGUCAUUGGGGUAAAGUGUGAGAGAUGCAGAAGGUUGAUACAAUUAAUUUGUUGUAGUGCAGCAUCAGGUGUUUGUACUAGCAAUCUUGGGAAGGGAUGACUAUCAUUUUGAGGGAUCUCUGGAGAUAGGGUUGACCUUUCAUGUACAAACUGGUUGGGAGUUGAUGAGCUUCCUAAUGAGGCCAUGGCAAGCUGAAAUCAAUUGUUGUGUUGAAAUGACCUGUAUAUCUCGCUCGAGGGACUAAGAUGCCCGAGCUAAAUUGGAUUUUGGUACAAUCGAUUGUGAGGAUGCGAUUCGUGAUAUCGUUCUUGGGAACGAUCUAUAGAGAAGGUUGGCCUAGUGUCUUGGCUCACUAGGCACCACAAGGGCUCAUCCUCGGCCAGGAAACUUUUGGCUUGCCACAAAUCAUAUCGAGCAAGUUUCGCAAGGUAUAUAUGCGGAUUCUAAGUAGAGAUUUGUUGCCCCAUUUUCAACAAGAAGAGGAACCUGUUGGUUUGCUGAGUUCAAGAGUUGCUGAGAUCAAGAGACGCCUAGUACGCAAAAGAAGGUUCUGCGAAUGGAGUGCAGUUGGCUCGGGAUGCCACACUUGUCAGGGAGAGCACAAGUGACUAGAGAUUCGCCAACAGCUUUGAUCGAGGGAAGCAACUGGUGGAGUGGAGUGGCCUGUUUUAUUAGGCGAGCAUUUGCUAUUCAUGUAAGUUCCGUGGGAGUGGCGGUGAUGGUUGAAGAAUGCAAGGAAGCGACAGAACAAUUUAACGAAGUUCUCAGUAGGCGAAAGAAAGUGCUGCUCAAGGAGUGCGGUUGGCUCGGAAUGCCACACUUGUCAGGGAGAGCACAAGUGAAUGGAGAUUCGCGAAUUGCUUUGAUCAGGGGAGCAACCAAUGGAAUGAAGGGUGGUUUGUUCUGUUGGGCGAGCAUUUGCCAUUCGUACAAGUCCCUUGGGAGUGGCGGCAAUGGUUGAAGAGCGCAAGGAAGCGACAGAAUAGCUCGCAACAAGGGUGCUGCUGAAAUUGGAUGAGGGAGAACCUCCAAGUUCUGAUUUCUCUCAUACUCACGUGGGUUGAAAAGUGGGGGCUCGGUGGCAUCGAAGUGAAGUGCGAGAGAUGCAGAAGGGUUCAUACAACUGUUUUAUGGGAGUGGCAUCAAAGUCUUUGUGCUAGGAAUCCAGGAUGUGGAUAUUAUCAUUUAAGAGGAUUUCUAAAGACGGGGUUGGCAUUCCGCGCAUAAAUUGGUUGAGAGCUAAUGCCGCUCUUCUGAUGAUGGCCAUGGCAAGCCGAAAUCAGUGAUUGUGCUAACGUGAUUUAUAUAUUUCCCUACUCCAUUGUUGAGAACGAUCUAAGUGAGAGAAGGCUGGCCCGAUGUUCCCA